GACCUGAUGGGGGGCUGUGAGGCGCGCGUUUCCGCGCUGGUCACCAAGACCGCGCUGAGCCAAUGGUGAGACCGACCCGUCGGCAA
ncrna:unclassified sequences c-di-GMP-II-GAG riboswitch